rnacentral:lncRNA from 1 species
AAAUACCCCUUCCAUCCAUCAUUUGUAACACACAAGAGGAAGGUUGGAAACUUAAUAAAGCUCUCCAUAUUUUCAAAGCUCAAGUGCUCUCAACUCUCUACCCCACCCAAGUCCGAAACCCUGCUGCCUACUUUGCUCACCUACAAUCUCUCCCAAUUCUCAUCUAGGCUUACUUAGUUCGACUUCGUCAAACAAGUUAACUAAGUGUCGCGCGACUUGGCUAACAGCGC